GGCUGGGUCGGUCGGGCCGGGGCAGGAAGCCAGGCUGGAGCCGCAGCGUGGCUGGGCGAGCCUGCUUGCCGAGAACUUCCGUUUUCGGCCAAGUCGGGGCGAGCCCGGACUGGCGCGGGGUCCGCCCGGUGGACCGUCCCGGCUGCGCAGUCGAGCAAUCGGCUGCUUCGGCCGACGCCCAACAGCUGACUCAGAACUGG
rnacentral:rRNA from 1 species